UACGAAGGGGGCUAGCGUUGCUCGGAAUGACUGGGCGUAAAGGGCGCGUAGGCGGCUUGCACCGUCAGAUGUGAAAUUCCUGGGCUUAACCUGGGGGCUGCAUUUGAUACGUGUGGGCUUGAGUGCGGAAGAGGGUCGUGGAAUUCCCAGUGUAGAGGUGAAAUUCGUAGAUAUUGGGAAGAACACCGAUGGCGAAGGCAGCCCCCUGGGCUGAGAUUGACGCUCAGGCACGAAAGCGUGGGGAGCAAACAGG
rnacentral:rRNA from 1 species